rnacentral:sRNA from 1 species
UUCAUCCAGCCUCAAGACCCUCUGUGUAGGGGGCUGGGAAUAAAGGGAACUGUGUUUAACAUGACCCAAUUUUCAGGCUGGUGACAAGAUGAGUUCACGGGUGUCUCAGCAAAGUUGGACACAAGCUAGAGACAGCUCUCUCCUCCCAGCCAAAACCUGGGAAUUCCCCACUGCAGCUCCUCAGGGGCCCUGGACAGUAGCUGUGACCAGGCUGGUGAAAGGCCCGUCCCUCCCAUCCAGGGCUUUCAAAGAAGUGGGUAGAAUCACAGCCAUCAAGUAAAAGCCACUGCGGACGGCAGAGGCCUAGCUGAGGAGGCUAGGGCCAUGUCCUCCCAGCUGGCAGGGUCUGUACAGAGCCUCUGGUGGCCUCUGCCCUGUCAUAGCCUAAGCUGCUGCAGCCACUGUGAGAGGCCACAGAGGGGAAGGGGACCCUGACGCCGGGCGCUGCCGCCUGGGGGAGCAUGGCACGAUUGCUCUUAGUGUUGAACUUUCUGUUUUGUCUCUUGCCCGUCCGGUUUUAGUUCCUGAAAUUAAAGAAGUGGUGAGCCACAAGUACAAGACACCAAUGGCCCACGAAAUCUGCUACUCCGUAUUAUGUCUCUUCUCGUACGUGGCUGCAGUUCAUAGCAGUGAGGAAGAUCUCAGAACCCCGCCCCGGCCUGUCUCUAGCUGAUGGAGAGGGGCUACGCAGCUGCCCCAGCCCAGGGCACGCCCCUGGCCCCUUGCUGUUCCCAAGUGCACGAUGCUGCUGUGACUGAGGAGUGGAUGAUGCUCGUGUGUCCUCUGCAAGCCCCCUGCUGUGGCUUAGUUGGUUACCGGUUAUGUGUCCCUCUGAGUGUCUUUGAGCGUGUCCACCUUCUCCCUCUCCACUCCCAGAAGACCAAACUGCCUUCCCCUCAGGGCUCAAGAAUGUGUACAGUCUGUGGGG